AAAAAUUGUGAUAGUGUCAAGC
rnacentral:miRNA from 1 species